AACGAACGCUGGCGGCAGGCUUAACACAUGCAAGUCGAAGGUGAAGCAGGACUUCGGUCCUGUGGAAACUGGCGCACGGGUGAGUAACGCGUGGGAAUCUACCCCGGGGUGGGGAAUAACCACUGGAAACGGUGGCUAAUACCGCAUACGCCUUGAGAGGGAAAGCUUUAUGCGCCCUGGGAUGAGCCCGCGUCGGAUUAGUUUGUUGGUGGGGUAACGGCCUACCAAGGCUACGAUCCGUAGCUGGUCUGUGAGGAUGAUCAGCCACACUGGGACUGAGACACGGCCCAGACUCCUACGGGAGGCAGCAGUGAGGAAUAUUGGACAAGUGGGGGAAACCCUGAUCCAGCCAUGCCGCGUGCGUGAAGAAGGCCUUAGGGUUGUAAAGCGCUUUCAACGGGGAAGAUGAUGACGGUACCCGUAGAAGAAGCCCCGGCUAACUCCGUG
rnacentral:rRNA from 1 species